rnacentral:pre_miRNA from 1 species
AGGUGAAUGAAUACCCAGUCGAUGUGUUUUAAUUUGCCAUCACCGGGUAUACAUUCAUCCGC